UCUUUCUUUUACGUUGGAAGGAAUGUCCUGCCAAGUCCCGGACAACUGGACCCCUGACAUCUUCACUGAUAUAGCAGUUGCCUGGAUCUUCAAAGGGUUUACUUCCUGUCCUAUGCGGCACACAUCCUUUACCAAGGACUGGCAAAUUGCCAUCCGGUUCUGUUAACAUUCUGCAUUAACACAGUGGACCAAGGUGAUAUUCUGAUGAAUACUGAUGACAGCCAUUCUCAAUUUGGGUCCCAGGGCCUCCUUUACAUUCUUCAGAAUUCUCGAGUAUCCCGGAGAGAUUUUGUUUAUGACAUUCUUCAGUGAAGCUGGCAAUUUUUCCUUUAGUUUUCCUCCUGUGAGUGCAUGGCGGCGAGGACUCUCAUCCCACUGCUCUGAUGUGCGCUCCAGUCCCCGCUCUCAGCCAUGAAAAGACCCCUCAUCAGAACCUGCCCAUGCUGAGACUCUGAUGUCAGACUGCCAGACUUCAGAACUGUGAGGUCAAUGUCUGUUGUUUAAGCCACAGUCUGUGGUAUUUUGUUUUAGCAGCCCAAGGCAAUGAAGACAAGGGCUUAGCUUACAAUUGUGAAAUCCUAAUUAUUUGUGUAGUAAAACAUACCAAUUAAGAGCAUAGACUUGGGGGGCACCUGGGUGGCUCAGUCAGUUAAGCAUCUGACUUCAGCUCAGGUCACGAUCUCACAGUACGUGAGUUUGAGCCCCCUGUCUGGCUCUGUACUAACAGCUCAGAGCCUGGAACCUGCUUCCAAUUCUGUGUCUCCCUCUCUCUCUGCCCUUCCCCUAUGCAUUCUCUCUCUCUCUCUCUCUCUCUCUCUCUCUCUCUC